CCGCUCAGCAUGUCGACUACGUCGUUGAACGUCCUGCCGAAGAUGGCCUCCCUGAAGUCAUCAGGAUUGUGGACGACAGCAGUAACGGUGUCCCUAUCCUCAUCUCUGAUGAUGAUCACAACGAAGGUGAGGCUGAGAGAUGGCCAGGAUGGAUGACCACAGGAGCAGCUGGAAGGGAAUGGUGGCCUGUGUUUCAGUGGACUUGAUAGCCCUCCAUCUCUCACACUGUCCAGCCACCAGUUGUGAUGAUGAGGGGCGUCCCAGAUCUACCCACACAGAGAAGGUUGUCAUUGUGGAACUUGUUUAUGUCGUGUCAUACUUACUGCAUAAGGCCUGCACCGUAAAGUGGCACUAAAGGCUAAGGAGUACCGCUACAGGUUAUCAGAAAAACUGUGUGCUCAAAGCCUGACCGUCUGAACCUCUCAAAAACAAAAAACACAUCCGGUCACAUGGUUAACAAACAACAAUAUGCCAUAACAUAACAUGUCUAGAGCACAUUGUAUAAAACAAACUUAUUAUUCCAAAACAUAAAGCUCUGUUGGCUAUGUUUUCUUAACUACGUAAACUAAACAUUUUUCAGAUUGGCUCUUACAGUCAUUGUGUGCUUUCUCUGUGCUGGUGAGUUUGGAAAGCUCCUCACACACUCAGCCUUCCUAUGUGCCUAGAGAUCCUUACCGUCAAGAAACGGACACUUAAGUGACAAAUGAUUA